UACGUAGGGGGCAAGCGUUGUCCGGAAUUAUUGGGCGUAAAGAGCGCGUAGGCGGUCCGAUAAGUCGGCUGUGAAAGUCAGGGGCUCAACCCUUGAAAGCCGGCCGAUACUGUCGGACUAGAGUCCGAAGAGGCAAGUGGAAUUCCCGGUGUAGCGGUGAAAUGCGCAGAUAUCGGGAGGAACACCAAUGGCGAAGGCAGCUUGCUGGGACGGUACUGACGCUGAGGCGCGAAAGCGUGGGGAGCGAACAGG
rnacentral:rRNA from 1 species